AAGGAUUUAAGUUAAGUUAAACUUUUAACCUUCAAAGUUAACAAUAGGCCAUAUUUCUAAGCCUUA
rnacentral:tRNA from 1 species